GCUUCUUCCGGAACUUCAGUCUCUGCUCUUCAGGCUUUAGUUUGUUGGAUGAGGCCCACCCUCUUCCACAUUGUGGAGGUCUUCUGCUUUGCUCAGAGUCUACUUGAGGCAGAAGAGUGAGCAGCUUUCCUCUGUCAGGCUCUUCCACCAUACUGUUUUUGCCUUGGAGCCAGCCAACCAUAGACUGAACUCACUGGAACUACAAGACAAAAGAUGUGAGUCUAUUCAGAAAAGAACAAGAUGGAGAGAGAUUGUGAGAAGCCCACAAACAGCACAAAAUACUCAAUAG